UACGUAGGUGGCGAGCGUUGUCCGGAUUUACUGGGCGUAAAGGGCGUGCAGGCGGUUUGUUAAGUGCAGGGUGAAAGCUCCCGGCUCAACUGGGAGAGGUCCUUGCAUACUGGCGAACUCGAGGGAGGCAGAGGAAAGUGGAAUUCCCGGUGUAGUGGUGAUAUGCGUAGAUAUCGAGAGGAACACCUGCGGCGAAGGCGGGUUGCUGGGCUGAUACUGACGCUGAGGCGCGAAAGCUAGGGGAGCGAACGGG
rnacentral:rRNA from 1 species